rnacentral:rRNA from 1 species
CCUACGGGAGGCAGCAGUGAGGAAUAUUGGUCAAUGGCCGGAAGGCUGAACCAGCCAAGCCGCGUGAGGGAGGAAGGCGCAGAGCGUCGCAGACCUCUUUUGCCGGGGAGCAACGGGCGUCACGUGUGGCGCCACUGAGAGUACCCGGAGAAAAAGCAUCGGCUAACUCCGUGCCAGCAGCCGCGGUAAUACGGAGGAUGCGAGCGUUAUCCGGAUUUAUUGGGUUUAAAGGGUGCGUAGGCGGAUCGUUAAGUCAGUGGUCAAAUUGAGGGGCUCAACCCCUUCCCGCCAUUGAAACUGGCGUUCUUGAGUGGAAGAGAAGUAUGCGGAAUGCGUGGUGUAGCGGUGAAAUGCAUAGAUAUCACGCAGAACCCCGAUUGCGAAGGCAGCAUGCCGGCUUCCGACUGACGCUGAAGCACGAAAGCGUGGGGAUCGAACAGGAUUAGAUACCCCAGUAGUC